rnacentral:lncRNA from 1 species
UAAAGCCCAAAACGUCAAAGUCAAAAACAUGAUUUAAAAAUCCUAACUAUAAAGGGGAGACCUAAAAUACACAGCCGUAUUCUUCACGCCAUUUAAUUUUUUUCUUCUUCAAGAAUAGCUGCUGAAUUUCUUCUUGAUGUGGCACUGCUCAAAAUAUGGCCCCAAACUCAUUUUGGGUUUGAGUUUGGAGUACCAUUAGAGAUGGUCUUAGAAAUCAAAAUUCAUGGGAGAAAGGUGUUUGGCUCACAGUUAUUUUGGAGUGAAGUCUGAUUCGUAGUGGGGGCAGGAGGCUUUUGACUUUCAAUUAAACGUAGGAUUUAAAGAUUUUGGAGAUGAAUUUAUUUGGAUGAGCCAUAUAUUUUUCAUAUUUCGAAAUUGAAGAGAAGAGGUUUGUGCUUUUAUAUGACUAGAAACUUAUGCAGAAAAUAUAUUCCUCUGUAUUGUUCGAUUUCUUCUCCAUCUUGUCUAUUCUCUCCCAAUUCUUCUAGAGCUUUUUAAAUUUGUGCAUCGAUUCUGUAUUGAUAGCCACUGAUUGUAUUUUGGUAAAAUCGUUUAUCAAGCUUGCAGUUUCAGAUAUUAGGGUGUGGUGAAAUUUGGAAUUCCGUCUCUACUUUUAACAUCAUAACUUAUUUAGAUGCAAAAAUAAUAGGAAUUAUUUUGAUUUUUGAAAUCCGUUGAUCUAAAAAUGAAAUUCAACAAUGUUAAAUGAAGAGCUAAUCGUGGAUUUAUGUUAAAUGAAGAGAGAAUAAUGAAUGAAUUGAAGAGAGAGAAACGUCUGAGAGAGAAAAUAUGGCGGUAGUCAUUUAAUCAUCAAGAUCUACGGUGGAUGCAUCAUUUUGUUGGUAUAGAAUGCAGAUCUGGGAAUCCUGAAGGGAGCAUUUUUUUUUAAAUUUUGUUAGUGCAUUAAUUUUAACAGCAAAUGCAUUAAUUUUUACAGUGGAUGCAUUAGAUUUGAUGGUUCUCCCGUUCUCACAAAUAAUGUAGUUCUCUCUAGAACCACACCCUAUAUAUAUAUAUAUAUAGGGGGGGCUAAAAUAAGAGCAUUUAUUAAAAUAUAAAAUAAGAAUCAUUUUCAGCCCUUAGAUCAUCAAGAUCUACGGUUGAUUCGUAAUCCUAUUUGAUGGAUUUAUGGUCCUGAGUUCGAAUCCCAAAGGUAGCAAAAAUUUAUUUUUCACAAUUCAUACCUUUAUACAACGAAUUCAUACGUGUUCUACAUAAAAUUCAUGCAUUAAAAAUUGCUCUUAUUUCUUAUUUUAAGAUGUGCUCUCACGGUAGCCCACCCCAAUAUAUAUAUAUAUAUAUGGGAGUGCUCCAAUGUGACCCCCUAUUUCUAGUGAGACCAGAGACACGAUCUCGUGCGUUUAUUUCAUCAAUUCUAUGGCUGAUAUUUUAUCUAGAGGGAUAAUUUUUUUUUCUCAGCGUUCGAAUCCUAGAGGGAGCGAAAUAUUUUAAAUUUCGUUAUUCAUCAGUAUAUACUGCAUUAUUCAUCGGUAUAUACUGCAUUGUUCAUCAGUUUAUAUGUCUUAUUCAUUACCAAUUUUUUAAAUUUCGUUAUUCAUCAGUAUAUAUGCCUUAUUCAUUGUCCUCAGUGUCUCACGAAAAAUAGGGGUUACGUCGUGUGUGUAUAUUAUAUAUAUAUAUAUAUAUAUAUAUAUAUAUAUAUAUAUAUAUAUAGGGAGGGGCUAGGGUGAAAACACCCCUUAGUGUAUAAAAUAGGAAUUAAUCCUAACCAUAGGAUUAUGUAAUCGGACGGUUAAGAUUGGAAUUUAAAGAUGUGUUUAAUUCAAAAUCAAAAUAUUGGUGAUUCAUGUGUUAAUAUCUAUUAAGGGCAAUUUUGCCAUAUAUUUUCUGGCUCUUUAUCUCCAACGAAACCUUCUCCGAAAAUAGUGUUGAAUUAAUAUGGAAAUUAAAUCUUGACAUGAUUGCUUCGGUGAAUUGAGCGUUAAUGCAGCGAAUCACGCAAAAUUCUCGUAUGAACAAAAAAGUGUAGGGUUAAGUUUAUUUCCUCCGAAUUGUCGCCGAUUUCUUUCUUUUCGCAAAAUUCCUCUGCGGAUGCACUUGAACUAUUGCAUAAAUUGAUACCCAAAAGCAGACAAGGUUUUUUUUUUUGUUUGGGAAUGGUGAGGACAAAACCUAAUACCCAUCAUGAGUUUUGAUUAUGCGACUCUGCGUUUCUUUAUUCAAUGAUUUAUUUUUUUCAAUUUUUUGCUGAUUUAUGUGUUGAUUUGUUAAAUUAGUCGAGUGGUUUAAUACAAAUUCUUCGUCGUAUGAAAUAAUAAAAUAUGUUUAAUGAUUUGUUUGGUUUUUUACACCAAUCUGUGUGGAAGAAUAGAGAUAAAUGAAGUGUACUUUUUGUGGAUCAAAUUUUCUUAAAAAAAAUUGCGUGUGAAAAUGAUUUUGUCCUUCUGUCUACUUUGCUCUAUAUUUUAAAAAAUUAUUGAUUAAACAUGUAUUUACUUUAAGAGGUCUCAAUUUUAAUUCUUUCCGCAUCGAACUUUGAUAAUAGAUGCUCAUUUGAAAUGAUACUUUACUUAUUGCCUAUUUCAGUAUGUGUGUACAUAGCGAACGGUGUGCUUUAGGCAUUAGGCAAACUUUAGGUGGCUGAAUUUUUUUUGGAUUUCUUUAUAUAUGACUUUUUUUUAAUAUGUAGCAUGAAUUUUUUAUGCAAAACAAUAUGUGUCGCUCAUGUAAUGUGUGCAUGUCAGUGCACAAAAAUUCUGUAGCACAUCGCAUGUAGUAUGAAUUAAUUUGGGAAACUGUAUGAAUGGCGUCUAAAAUUUUAACCUAUUUUAUUUAAAUCGGAUGUCUGUGCACUUAGUUAUAUGUCUGAUGCGUUCAAGCUGGAAUUCGAAGAAACAAAGAAUUUGAUGGUUCAUGCGCAGAUUAUUUUAACAACCUUACUCGUAGAUAAACUGGAGGACGAAAAAUGUGUCGAACUUGGUUCCUUCAUCUGCCAAUUGUGAUGGGGCGUUCUGAUACGAUUCCAAAUUUCUCAGAUCAUGCAAUGAUUUAAAUAAUUUUCGAUGGGACGUGAAUUUAAUUAAAAUAAUUUUCGAUUCGUGCUGUAUCAACACGUAAUGCAUGCAAUUUAAUUUUUAAUUCGUGUUGCAUCAAAACGUAAUUCAUAACUAAUAUGGCUACAAUAUUCACACAGAUAAUUAAUCACACAAUUGAUUGCAUGAAUUAUUUUAGCAAUUCCUGAAUCGGAUUAAAAUAAUUUUUGAUUCAUGUUGUAUCAACGCGUAAUGCAUGCAAUUUAAUUUUUAAUUCGUGUUGUAUCAAAACAUAAUUUUCAAUUUAAUUUUCUAAGCGUAAUGCAUGUAGUCGUGAAUCUGUUCGAUACAUUUAUGAAUUAUGGUUCUGCUAUAAAUUUUUCAUAAUGAUAUAGGAUUUAAUUCAUGAUGAAGCUUGAGUCUAAGAUUUGUAAUGUUUUUGCACUAUUCUCAUUUGUUUAUAAUGUCAGAUUUUUUUUCUAGCAAUUGUAAUUUGGGUGCAAUGUUGAAACAAAAAUUAUGCGUUGAAAUAGUUAUGUGAAAUUAUGAGUUUAUGAAGGCAAUUCAAAACAAACAAUAUAAUUAUCGUUUUAACUAAAUCUAUUUUAAUUUAAAGGUAAAAUGAUUAAACAACUAAGUUAGAUAAUUAAUUCAUCAAAUAUAUAAAUGUAAUUCAUACCAAACAUCUUUAGUAUUCAUUGAAAACAAAAGAAAUAUUCAUUUAAAACAAAAUCCAUACUAAUGAAUCAAUUCAUACCUGCAUUGUGAAUAUCCAUAAUGAAAACCACGAAUUCAUCAAAAGUUUUCAAGAUAAACAUACAUGGCAAAUUAAGAAAUAUAUUAACCACCAUAUAUUAACCACCUUUUUUUUUUUUUUAAAUUGUCUACUUCAUAACUAAAUAAUAGGUGUAUGUGAUUUGUCACAAAAAAAUAUUAUAUUCAUAUUUGGAAAAUAAAUAUAUUAACCACCAUCUAUUGUUUGUUUGUUUUUGUUUUUUUUUAAAUUGUCUACUUCAUAACUAAAUAAUAGGUGUAUGUGAUUUGUCACAAAAAAAAUAUUGUAUUCAUAUUUGGAAAAUAAAUAUAUUAACCACCAUCUAUUUUUAUUUUUAUUUUAACAAUUGUCUACUUCAUAUAUAAAUAAUAGGUGCAUGUGAUUUGUCACAAAAAUAUUAUAUUCAUAUUUGUACGAGAAAUAUAAGGUAAUACUAUUAAGACAUCAAUACACCUUGAUGAAUUGUGAUGAACAUACAUUUGAAUUCAUAAAGAUUUUAUGUGGAUCUAGUGUUGCAAGGUACGAAUUAUUAUUAUAACAAAAACAAUAUAUAUGAAUUAAUUCAAUUGAUGUAUUAUUGUUCGUAAAUGAAUGUUGAUGUACAGAAAAUCAAAUGAAGAACAGAGCAAACCUUGAUUAUCCAUCUUCAAAGUCGAAGAUAAUACAACUAUUGGAAAAACGGCAGAUUUAAUUAGUGACGUUGAGAGAUUAGAAAAACACAUACCGGAUUUGAUUCUAAGAUGGAAACAAUAUUAUAAUAAAUGAUGUGAUAUCCCUUAAAUCUUGAAAUAUCUCAAAUUAGAUGCGUAAAAUUACUUUAUAACCCAUUAUAAAACAGACGUGUGAAUUAUGGCUGAAGAAAUGGGCGAAAUCUGGUCAUCGAUAUUUUUUGAUCUAAAGGCCCAAAUUGGUUCCUAUUUUAUUGUUUAAAAACUGUUUUUAUUUUAGCCCCCUCUAUAUAUAUAUAUAUAUAUAUAUAUAUAUAUAUAUAUAUAUAUAUAUAUAANGAUGCAUAUUAUGAAAAUUGUCAUCUUGCCAUAUAUAUAUUAUUGAUGAGAAUGAGAUAUGGUAUGUUGCCUCUAUGAAAGACAUGAAUAUGAUCAUGAUGCAAGAUAUCGGCCUUUGACUGAUCUAGAUGACAGUAAAGGUUUUGUGCGCAGAGGUGAUCGUGAGCCGUCUCUAGUCGGCCGGUCACGGUGAUUUGAAGGAGGCCUCCUUCUCUUCACCUAGUAUAUAUAUAUGUAUACGAGUUCUCAUAGUUGGCACAUACCGUGAAUAUAAUGUCUGCAGACUAAUCUAUAUAAUAUAUAAAAGAGGAGUUUUUUCCCUCCAUGUUUUCCUUCUCUUUUUCUCUCUCUUCUUCCACUAAUUCUUUUUACUAUUUUUUCUUUUUAUUUUUUAUAAUUUAAUUCUUUUUUUAAAAUAUUGUCAAAUUUGAUUCAUUAAAAAAAAUACUCAAUAUGCAUAUUAAAUUUAAUAUAAUAUAAAAAUAUUUAAAAAUAAAUUUAAAAUGAAUAAGUUAUAAAUUUUAAAAAAUUUAAAAUAUUUUAUUUUCUCUCUUCAUCAAAAUUUUACAACUUUUUAUUUAUGUUUGUGCAUGGAAAUAUUUAUUUAUUUAUAAUGAUGUGUAAUACUAUAUAAUAAUAUGUGUAAUGCUAAUUUUCAUUAUCAAAUAAUUUUUUAAUAAUUAUUAUUAUCAUUACACCUUAUACAAAGUUGAAAAUUUACAUUUUCAAAUUAAAGAUUUUAUUGGGUAAUUGAUGUGGAUUAUUAGAUUUUAUUUUUAGAAAUAUUUUGUAUUUGUUUAAUAUUUAUUUUAUUUAUUUUUAUUUAAAUAUGUCAUUUCAUUUCGAUAUUCAUCGUGCAUCGCACGAAUGAGUAUACUAGUAAUAUACUAUAAAAGAGUAGUUUUUUUCCCCUCCAUGCAUCCUUUCCUAUCUUUUUCUCUCUCUUUUACCACUAAUUUUUUCACUAAUUUUUUCCUGUUUGUUUUUCAUAUUUUAAUUCUUUUAUAAACUGAUACGAUCCUUGUCGGACCGUUCAAACGAACACGCUAGCGGAAGACUUGAUAACGAAUGAUAGAUUAUGGAAGAUCUCAAAACCUCUGAAUCUACCCACGGAAUGAUUUAGGCGAAUUGAAUUCCCUAAUUCCCAACGUGACGUUGACGCAGCAACUUGGGGACGAUGAAUGACACCCGACGAGGGUUGUUGACUCGUUGUUACGUCGAUAGAUGAAUUCUCUUGGAAUUUUAAGAGGAAUUCAAAAACUCUCAAGAGAGAAAUAAAUGCACAAAUUUUAUAAAUCAAAGGCUGAUUUUCGUCCAACACAUAGAGGCCUAUAUAUAGGCGAAAAUAAAGAGUCCUAGUCUAAUAAGGAAACAACUUAACCUAAUCAAACCCUAAUUUCGAAAAUAACUAAUUCAGCCAAAUAAGGCCCUUAUUCCCCAUAAAAAUUCAAAAAUAACUAAUAAACUAGAAACUAUUGGACUCUAAAAUAACAAUACAGAAAAUAAAAUAAAUAAAGUCUUCCAACUUCAGCCCAACUGCAAAUAAAUAAAAAUCAAUGCGCCAACUUCACCAUCUUCAAAUAGCUUCUUCUUCAACUCCUGCUGACUCAACUAGAAACACCUCUAGAUUGACUUGCAAUAGAACAAGGACAUCCUAGCAAUGGUAAGUUGACCCAGUGUCAUCUCUCAAGGAAGAUCUUUAAGGGCUAUUAAUUAUGUCACAACGAAAGCAGUAAACUUNAUAUAUAUAUAGGGUAGGGCUACCAUGAAAACACUCUUAAGUGUAUAAAAUAUGGAUGAAAUCCAUCCGCCUAUCUAUCUUAUAUUGGUGGGCUAGAUUUAAAUUUCUUAGGUAUGAAAACACUCUUAAUGAUAAAAUAUUGAUCUCAUCCAUUACACUUAAAAGGAUGUCUGAUUAGAAGAUUGACCUUCUCUGUCUUGUUUACCAUUGUCGCAUUUUAUGAAAAAUUAUUAACUAAAACUUGACCUUCCUCUAUGAUUGAAUGCAUUAUUUAGCAAAUCUCAUGAAAGAUAUUCUGAAUUUUCAGAUCUUAAAUGCUUUUUAGUGGGAUUUGAAUAAACAAAUUAAUAGUUACGAAAAUAUUAACCAUCCACAAGCUUUCAGUCCCAGCGCAUAUAGAAGGCGGCGAAUCUAGGGUUUUUGAAGAGACGAAAUGUCGAAAACGAAGGGUGGAUCUUGAGGUUCGUUACAGUGGGUUGUUUCUUUGUUUUUUUCUUUUUUUUUUAAGUGGGUGAAGAUUCGUGGUUUGUUUUACAGUGGAACCCAUCUGCAAUCUCUCUCUCUCUCUGUGUUAAAUUUCUUGGAUUGUUGUGAAUAAUCGGUUCCUUAUGUGAAGAAUCAGUCAAAUUUUAGAAUGUCCCCCUUGUCUUGAAACGAUUGUGGGUCUUUAUGUCUUCAUAAGAUUUUAUUAUGCUUUGAUUUUUUUAUGUGUGCGGUCCAAAUUUGGGUUUUUGAGUUUUGGGGGUAUAGUUUUCGAUUGAUUCCAGUAAUCGAUUUUUUUUCAUUUUGGAUUUAUGUGCGCAGGUUUAUCUUAAUCAUAGGUACUGUGCGAAUUUGGAUUUACUUGAAUAAAUGAGUUCAUGGGAUGUGUAGAUGAGUGUAGAUGAACAGAUUUGUAUAAGUUUAAAUCACUAUUAUUUGGUUACAAAUUGUAAGUUUACAGUUGUAGAAUAUAUUAUUAGGGAGAUGUGAUAAUAUAUUUUCAUAUAAAAUGUGGGGAAGACGAAGAAUGGGACUAGAGGUUCGUAACAGUGGAUUUUUGUUACGAAUUUAGUUCUAUUUGUUACGAUUCGUAUUGUCUACUUUUUUGUUUAUUUGUUGUGUAUUUUUUGAUUUGGAAAAUUUUAUUCGCAGCCAACAACAAAUCAAAGGGAAAAGAGAAACACGAAGAUUCGUAGCCUGUCUGAUUCGUAAUCUGAUUUACUUGCAUUCGUAAUGUGUUUUUUGGUGUCAUUUGGUUUCUAUUUGACAUAAAGUAGUCCUUCUAUGCUUACUGUCUGAUACAUAUUUUGAUAUAUUAAGAUUUGUAACUUGUCUAAUUUGUGUUCUGAUUUAUUGACAUUCGUAAUGAGAUUUUAGGUGUUAUUUGGUUGCUAAUUGACAUAAGGUAAACCUUUUAUGCUUACUGUUUGAUGCAUAAAAGUAGUCACUUUAUGCUUAAUGUCAAAUUUAAUUUUAGGUGUUAUUUGGUUGCUAUUUGACAUAAAGUAGUCCUUUAUGCUUACUAUCUAAUUUGUAAUAUGAUUUACUGAAAUUCGCAACCUGUCUGAUUCGUAGUUUGAUAUAUUGAGAUUUGUAAUUUGGUUCUACAUGUCAUUGACAUAUAUUCUAUAUGGAUAAGGUUCAUUGGGCAAAUUGCAAUGUGCGUAGGAAUUUUCCACUUUUUAGGAACUGGAGCAACAAGAAGCUUAGAGAUAGAGAGACAGUGGGAAUUAAUUCUGGUGGGUUUGGCGAUGGCGUGUUGAUGGAACCAAUUCCUUUACCCGAGGUCAGGAGACUGUCGCCAUUGGAAAAUUUGGCAAAGAUGGUGGAGGUUUUAUGUGAAGCAUAGAGAUGAUAUGUCGUGUUUUAUAAACUUUGUUGAUGCUGCACUACUUGAGGAUGAAUGUUUUAGGAAGAGUUUAGAUGAUUAGUUGGUGGAUAUUUUUAUGCCUUACGUUCAUACCUAUUUUGAGGAUGCAUCUAGAUGUUUUAUAUUAUAUUCCUACUGAAUAAAUGAAGGUUAUUUUAUUAUUGAUUGGGUAGUUGUGUGCAAUAGAUAUUCAAAUGGUGAAAAUUAUUCCAUAAUAUAG